ACGUUUUCUUUGUUUAUAGUCAAACCAAAUAUGGCUAAGCUGUGAAGGGGAAUAUGAUGCAGAUAAGGAGCACUUGCAUAACGCAACGUUUGGCUACUAUCCCCCUAGUGGCGGAUUUCCAUCUUACUAUUAUCCCUACAAUCACACGAAAAAUGAGUAUUUGAGUCCAAUAAUUGCUGUUCAUAUAAAAAACGCGCCAGGUGGAGUUAUGAUAAACAUUGAAUGUCGAGCGUGGGCUAAGAAUCUUGUUUAUGUCGGAGGUUCGCCUCACAAAAGGAAAGGGUCCGUCCACUUUGAACUUAU